rnacentral:rRNA from 1 species
AUGAAGGAGGCAGGUGGUGGAGGACGAGCUCUUCGCCGGAACCGCAUGUACGACUGUGUGGAAGCCGCAAUCAGUGUCAAAGUCAGAAAGCAUGGGUUUUGGCCUGGUUGCCGAGGUUUAUUCACUGCCAGCACAGCUAGUUUCGAAGACAUGGAGAUCCCGUUGCUUGCUUUUGAAGGAGAUAGGUUGCCAGUUGAUGGUGGUGGAAGGCUUGAGCUUUCACGCCGUGUGGUCUGCGUCGAGCUUCGGCAGCCCGAAGGUAAGCUCUUGUUUUCGGCAAAGGCACUGCGUGGCGGUGAUGAGAAAGACGUGAGGAGAGUUCGUAAAACUUUCACUCCAAAGAAGGUUGGUAAGACCAAGGAGAAUAUCAAGAUUGGUUCCUGUGAGAUGGAGGUCACUGUCACAUGGUCCCUUCUUCCAAAUUGUAAGUAUGAUUAUGACAGUGCUUUGAGAAAGUAUUAUUAA